GAGAAAAGAGAGAAACUUUCAUGACCCUUUAAUCUUCAAAGCUUGAUUUCCUCUGAACUAAAACUCAAAUCAAAACUCCGAUUUCACCAAAAUGAUCCUCUCUUCUUCAUCUACAUAACCAUGUGACUUAUCAAGGCUGGAAAUAAGGUGAGAUGGCUGUCUCCCUCCCUCUUCAAUUCGGUUUUCAAGGAAAACCAUGUAAACAUGUGUUUUCUUGAUGUUUUUCCUUAAGAAUCAUGCUUAACUUGACUUGAGGGCCAAGAAACGUGAAUUUCCAGCAACUAUAAGGAGGAAAAAGUGCUAAAGGACCACCUGAAAGUCUAACUGAAUUAGGAGCAGCAAAACCAGGGAUAGAGUAUUCUACUACCCGAGGACAGAAGUGGGGUGGGUAGUAAAGAAGAUGAAUG